AUUGAACGCUGGCGGCAUGCCUUACACAUGCAAGUCGAACGGUAACAGCUCUUCGGAGGCUGACGAGUGGCGAACGGGUGAGUAAUACAUCGGAACGUGCCCGAUCGUGGGGGAUAACGGAGCGAAAGCUUUGCUAAUACCGCAUACGAUCUACGGAUGAAAGCAGGGGACCCUCGGGCCUUGCGCGAACGGAGCGGCCGAUGGCAGCUUAGGUAGUUGGUGGGAUAAAAGCUUACCAAGCCGACGAUCUGUAGCUGGUCUGAGAUGAAGACCAGCCACAAUGGGACUGAGACACGGCACAGACUCCUACGGGAGGCAGCAGUGGGGAAUUUUGGACAAUGGGCGAAAGCCUGAUCCAGCAAUGCCGCGUGCAGGAUGAAGGCCUUCGGGUUGUAAACUGCUUUUGUACGGAACGAAAAGUCUCGGGCUAAUACCCUGGGACCAUGACGGUACCGUAAGAAUAAGCACCGGCUAACUACGUGCCAGCCGCCGCAGUAA
rnacentral:rRNA from 1 species